GCGGGUUCCUUCCGAGACCGGAUUUUCUCUCUUUUUUUGUUUUUUUUUUGGGUUAUAGUUUUUGCUUUUUUCAUUUCUUCUUUCCUACUCCAUCUGAUCCAAAUUAAUUGAAGUACCUUUAGUAGGAGUACCAUUUCCAUUUUUUAUUUUUUUAUAUUAUUAUUAUUCUAUUUUUUAUUUAUAUUUCCUAAUUUCAUUUAUUUAGUUUUUCUUUUCCUUUUAAUUUUAUGGACAACUUAGCAACUCUUCAAUUUUUUCCAGAUAGUAAAAACAAAUCAUGAGGUUUUUUAAUGCAUGACAUGUAUUUAAAUUUGUGAACAUUUUUGGAAUUCAAUAACAAUUUUUGGAUCUCGUGGACAAUUAUCGACAAUUGUUUUGAUAUUUGUGAAUAUUUUUUUGUUUUGACAGAAAAAAUGUAUGGACAAAUUUCGAAUUCAUGAACGUUUCUUGAACCACUGAACAUUUUUCGAAUCAAUAAAACUGUUUCAUAAUUAACAAACAUUUUUUGAAUUCAUGAAUCUUUUUUGAAUCCGCAAACCUUUUUUCAAACUCAUAAACAUUUUCUGAAGUUGCAAACAUUUUUCUAAAAUCAUGAACAUUUUUAAUUUCCUGAACAUUUUUAAAUUGUGAAAGUUUUUUGAAAAUGCGAACCUUGUUUCACGAACAAUUUUUUGAAUUCAUGAACAUUUUAUGAUUUCUGUACGAUUUUUUCAAUCCAGAAACAUUUUAUGACUUCUGUACAUUUUUUUAAGUUGCCAAAAUUGUAACUUUUUCGUUAUCCCAAUAUAUUUUAAGUAGCAAACAAAAAGAAAACAAAUACAAAACGAAAAAUAAGUAAAACUAAGAAAAACAGGGAGAAACCUGGUGGCGGGCACACCUAUUUCACACUUACAACAAGAUGUAGCACAGUCUCGCCAAAAGGUGAGCGCAUGACGAAACAAACCAGGUGCGCGAGGCUACAACCUCUUUUUUUAUAGUUUUUUCGUUUUCCUUUUUUGCUUACUAUUUUACUAUUCUUUACACUUUUAUAUAAUAUCUUUCCCUAAUAAUAAAGCGUCUAUUGCUUCUGGUCGUACAUCAUGAAAAUUAACCCUAAAGUUGAUAAAAAUUACCCACUAAUGCCACCCGUAAGUGACAAAAACGGUUUGUUUUUUAUUAGAUGACUGCCGGUUGCGUUCGGAUCAUUUGCAGCUAGGCCCUAACAUUAUCACAAUUACACAAGCAGCUUAAUGUUAUCAUAAAGGGCAAUGCUCUACCACCAGGGAGAGCUGGGUUCGAUCCCAUGUUCUCUCUCUUUUUUGCUUCCUUUUUUUCGAAUAUCUAUAGUAUGAUAUUAUCUAGGCCCAGCUACAUUUUUUAUCUUUUUAUUUUACGCACAUUCAAUUAUUUGUUGAAAUUUUCAUAUCUUUUAAAUGAUAACUUCAAAUUUAACAUGUUAUAUAUGAAAAUCGCUCAGAAAAAAGUAUAGAUUCUAAAUAUGAUAUUAUCUUGCAUGUUAAUAUUUGUUUAUAUUAUGUUUACGAUGCACCUUUAGUUAGUACUUUUCUUUUCUAUACCUAUAUAUAUAUAUAACGUACGUUUCUUCCUCCUGCUUUUUCAUACAUAAAGAAAACAAACAUAAAAUAAAAAAAUAGUCCAUCAUUUGGCUUCGAUUUAUUUGGUUCAUCGGUCACACGUCUUGCACAUAGGCAAUGGGCCCGGCCCUCCGCCCCAGUGCAAUUGAGUAUUUUCCUGCAGGGGCCGCCCAUGGUCAUUAUGCGAUAAAGAAUCCUGCUGCAGAAAAAAAUUAAUUUAUUUCUGUGGUCUCGAACCCGAGAUCUCAACCACCGUUUAGUAGGUUGUAACCAAUUGAGCUAGGUUAUCUAUUAAAAAAAUGAAGGCUUAGUGUGGGACCGUAAUGUGCAACAAAAAUAAUGCAAUCAGAAAGGUGAGAGACGCUAUGUAAGUGUCGAGUUGCUUGCAACAAAUUAGCGUUGUUUCGCUCAGACGCGAACAUUAUUUAUUGAUCUUCAAACAUAUGAAGAGAUGGUGUAAAACACGUUUAACAAAACCCCUUUUUAAAAACGAAAUCAUGACCUGGUGCAAAAUUCAAGCAUUGUUUCAACAUAAAAAUAAUGUCGUGGUAUGAGGCUCUUUAAGAUCAGAAUCGUCGUACGAAAACCAUACCAAAAGUAUUGUAUGUGUAGCAUGCUUCUUAAUGUAGUAGUACUUAUAUGAAUUUCUGCUAGCACCAUUCGGAUGUUCUUCCGCCGUGUUGAUGGUUAAUUUGGUGGACACACCAAUUAACUAUCCGGUUGCAACGCACGUGCAUAUGUGCUAGUAAAGACUAAAACACUUUAAAGAAAACAUUUAAGGAAAGUUAAUCAGGCAAUUGAAAAUGUUAAAUGUGUACAUAAAAAAUGUUUUCCGUGUAUACAAAAAUAAGCAAUAUGUAUGAAAAUUUUGAUCAUCUAUUUCAAAAAUGUUAGUCAAGCACUUGAAAAAUGUUAAUCAAGUCUUACAUAUGUUAAUCAAGAAUUUGAAAAAUAUGAAAUGUGUAUAGAAAAAAUAUUUGUCAUAUAUAUAGUAAAAAUACAUACAAAUAAACAAUGUGUAUGAAAAAAUAUUGGCCAUGUAUUAAAAAAUGCUAAAUGUGGAAAAAAACCUUGUUACUGUGUAUACAAAAAUAAGCAAUAUACAUUAAAUAAAAGUAGACACCAAAAAAGAAAUAUUUAAAAAUAUUAUAUUCCAUAUUUCAAAAGUGUUAAAACAGUGUAUAUAUAUAUAUAUGCUCCUGUAUAUGAAAAAUAUACAUUUUAUGCAUUGUUCAAGAUAUCUUCCGAUAUUCUGAUAAAUCGGACCAUUUAUCGCAUACCGGUGUCUUCCGAUAAUCUUGUAUGUCAAAAAGGUAUGAAAAAUGUAUUAGAUAUACCAAAAAUAUAUGAUGUGUAUGGAAAGAUUUAUAAAUAAAAUUAUAAGUUUAAAAAUGUUAAUCGUGUACUUUGAAAUUUUAAAUAUGUAUAUAAAAUUAUUUUCUAGUGGACAAAAGCUGUAUGUAUACUAAAACAUGCUGACAUAUGUCGAACAAAACAGAAUAUGAUGAAAAUUAAUAAAGAAAAAAAAGAAAAAACAAAGAACCCAAUAAAAACCAAUGUAAAAGAAUGAAAAUAGAGAAUGCCAAGAAAGAAACAAGCAAAAAGAAAGUAAACAAAUGGAGACGAAGAAACAAAAAUGAAUAAAAGUGAAGAAAGAAUGAAAAAAGGAAGGAAAAAACAAGUGAAAAAACAAGUGAAAAUAAUGAAAUUUGCGAACAAUUUCUAAAACAGAAACAAUUUCGGAAAUAUCAAAAACAUUUAACACACGUAGAUUUCUUGAAACUGCACAACAAAUUUAAAAACGUGAACAAUUUUUGGAAACAGAAACAUUUUAUGAAAUAUGCAAACAACUUUCGAAAGCAGGAACAAUUUUUGGAAACACGAAAAAAAAUGAAAACGGGAACAGAUUCUGAAUCGAUAGAACAAAUUUGAGAUGAACAAUUUUUGAAAACGAUUUUUUUUCUAAAACUGAAACAUUUUCCAAAUUCCGAACACAAAUUUUGGAUAAGAGAACAUUUUUCUUAAGAUUGAAACAUUAUUUUAAACAUCUGAAAAUUUUGGAAACACAAACAUUUUUGAAAAAUUAUGAACAUUUUUUGGAACCCUAGGAAAAAAAAUUAAAAAACGAACAUUAUUUGAAAUUCAAGAACAAUUUUUGAAACUCCUGAACAAAAAUAAAAAUUCAUAAAAAAAUUCUUGAAAAUUGCGAACAAAGUUUGGAAUAGGAACAUUUGUUGGAACUCCCAAACAAAAUUUGAAAACAUUAACAUUUUUCGAAAACAAAUUGCGAGCAAUUUUCCAAAAUUUGUGAACGGUCUUUGAGAUGAAAUCAUUUUUUUGAAGUUCUUGAAUAAAUUUUGAAAAGUUCUGAAAUUUUGAACAAAAUCAUAAAGAAAAACGAAGACAAAAAUGAAUAUAGAGACAGAAAAGAAAAGAAUAGAAUAGAAACAGAAAAGGAAAAGAAAAAAAUAAAAAAUAAAAAAUAAAAAACAAAAAGGAACCAGAAACACAGUCCAAAAAUCGGUUCAGCCUGCUAGAAGAAUCCCAAAACCAUUAGAAACCUCGGCUGGAAUCCAGAAAGUUCCUAAAACCCAGUCGUUCGGUUAGUAUCCUCGCUGUGUGCAGGCCCAUACAACAUUGUCCAAGAGUGUCGAAUAGGAAAUCCAAUACCAUUUCUACAAGCUUUUGGAACAUUCUAGAUGGAUCCCUCUGAUUUUGGGCCGCUUUUGCAAGUAUUUUACAAUUCUUACAUUUUCAAAGUUUUCUAUUAUGUAUUUUCAUUUAUUUUUAGUUCCUAUCUAUUCUGAAUUUUUAUUUUUCAUUAUAUAUUUUCCAUAUCUUAUUUUUUUUAAAUCAUCAACAUUGCAAAAUAUAGAUGCACAUUUUUUAAAGUAUUUUUUUCAAAGUUAUGAUGUUUUAUUUGAAGUCACGAUUUUUUCCAUUUUGUGACCUUAUUUUGGAAAUUGGUGACAUGUUUUCAAAUAAUUGUUUUUAAUUCACCAACAUUAUUUUAGAUGAGGGGGCAUGCUUGAAUUCACGGACAGUUUUUAAUUGUGCAAAUAUUUUUUUUAUUUUGCAAACAUCUUCUGAAUUCAUGUAAAAAUAUUAUUCCAGCAACAUUAUUUGAAAUUCAAGGAUAUUAUUUGAAAUUUUGUAAAUUUACCAAUUUCAUGAACUUAUUAAAAGUUUGUGAUUAUAUGAAUUUAAAAAAUUUCAAAUCUGUUAUACAUUUUAAAUUUUCAGAACAUUUCAUUGAAUUAAUUUUGCAAUAUAUUAUUUUUUUUAAUCUAUAAGAAAACAGAUAUGGUUAUUUUCUCUGAACCAGUACCUAUUGCAAUCGAACAAGUGAACUAUGUGACCAGGCUAGCAAUCGAGCAGUGAAACCAAUAUUUUUGUGCGACCACCAGCUCCAGCUUAGGCACUAAAGAGGCGCUCUCGCGUGGAAUAGAAACGAUAAUGUAUCGCCUCUUGCCGCUGAUUGGUGAACCUUUCUCAAAAUCAUUAUUUUUCUAACAUUUAGGACUUACAAAAUUCUUAUAACAUUUGCUUUCGUAAUAUACUUUUCCAAAUUCAUUUUCACAUUAAAUAUACUACUUUCUCAAAAUAAAAAACAGGUAGUUCAUCUUACAGCUUUAAACCAUCUUAAAUAUAGUUUGUCUUGCAGCUUCCCCAAACACUGACUGGCCCGAAUUAAUCUCGCAGAGUGCAUGUUUCCCCUUAUCCCUCGCUAUACAGGUCAGAUAUGAGGCCUCCUAUGAGAGCUCAUAUCCCGCACGCUAGGCGCAGGUGUUGGGUGCUUUAAGAUAAAUGGUCCGGUCGAAUAACUAGUUUAGUCUUGUUUUUUACAAGAAGUUUUUAAUUAAACAAUAAUAAAAAACAUGGAAAAUUAUAAAUUAAUAUAUAGUAAUUCCUAAAUUUCAAAACAUAUUCACAAUAUCAAAAUUGUUCAUGAUUCUUUUAUAAUAUUAAGAGAAAAAAUAGAAAUAAACUCAAAAACCGAAGAGAAAAAAUGGGGUGAAACCCCACACUUGGUCGGUCCAAAUAGUGCUGGAGCCAUGAGGGUGGAGUCCAGCUAGGCUCGAGUACAUGCUGAAUUCCAACUACAAUAAUCGAUAUUCAAACCCUAUCUUCUAUAUCUAAUUAGCUGGCCCCCACUAACAUAUUUCUCCCAGCAUGCAAGCAUGCUACCUAAUCAUUCAACAUACAUAGAAAAAGGCUCACCUCAACACGCGACUAUGCAUAUUAAAAAUCCACUUCAACAUGUAAACAUGCAUGCAUGUAAAAUUCCAUUUUAUUUAUGAUGUUUACAUUUAUUUCUUAUAUACUUUCAACAACUAUUAUUUCAAAUACUCAUGUUCCAUAUAACCAAAACUCAUUGAAAUAUUGCAAAAUAUUCCUGCAACAAUGUGCGGGGCAUCAUCUAGUUACUAAAAAGGCCUUGAAUGUGUAUUUGUAUUUUUUAAUAUGUUUGGAUUUUUUUAAGUUUCUGAAAUUAUCAUUAUUCUACUUUUCAUUUCAGAGAAUUUAUCAAUUAUUAAUGGACACUUCCAUUUUUAAGUCAAAUAUGACCCCAAUAAAUUUAUACUAGAUAUGUAUUAUCCUUCUAUUUUCUUAAUCUCUUUAGCAAGAAAAGUUUGAAACUUUCUCAAAAUGAUCAACAUGGUAGUGUUAUUUCUCUCUGCAUGCAAGCAUGCCACCUCAUCAUUCAACAUGCAUAGAAAAAGGAUCACCUCAACAUGCGACUAUGCAUAUUAAAAAUCCACUCCAACAUGUAAACAUGCAUGCAUGUAAAAUUCCAUUCUAUUUAUGCAUUUAUUUCUUAUAUACUUUUAACAACUAUUAUUUCAAAUAUUCAUGUUCCAUAUAACCAAAACCUCAUUGAAAUAUUGCAAAAUAUUCCCGCGACAAUGUGCGGGGCAUCAUCUAGUUAGUAAAAAGGCCUUGGAUGUGUAUUUUCCUUGUAUUUUUUAAGAUGUUUGGAUUUUUUUAAGUGUCAUGAAAUUUAUCUGAAUUCUAGUUUUCAUUUUCGAGGACUUAAUCAAUUUUUAAUGGACGCUUCCAUUUUCAAGUCAAAUAUGACCCCAAAAAAGUUAUACUAGAUAUGUACUAUCCUUCUAUUUUCUUAAUCUUUUUAUCAAGAAAAGUUUGAAACAUUCUCAGAAUGAUCAACACGGUAGUGUUAUUUCUCUCAACAUGUAAGCAUGGCACCUCAUCAUUCAACAUGCAUAGAGAAAGGCUCAACUCAACAUGCGACUAUGCAUAUUAAAAAUCCACUUCAACAUGUAAACAUGCAUGCAUGUAAAAUUCCAUUCUAUUUAUGACAUUUACAAAUUAAUUCUUAUAUACUCUCAACAGGUAUUAUUUCAAAUAUUCAUGUUCCAUAUAACCAAAACCUCAUUAAAAUAUUGCAAAAAUAUUCCCGCAACUAUGUGCGGGGCAUCAUCUAGUUACUGGAAAAAGCCUUGAAUGUGUAUUUUCCUUGUAUAUUUUUAAUAUGUUUGGAUUUUUCUUAAAGUUUCCUGAAAUUAUCAGAAUUCUAUUUUUCAUCUUACUGAAUUGUAUCAAUUUUUAAUAAACACUUCUAUUUUUAAGUCAAAAUAUGACCCAAGAUAUGUAUUAUCCUUCUAUUUUCUUAAUCUCUUUAGCAAGAAAAGUUUGAAACUUUCUCAGAAUAAUCAACAUGGUAGUGUUAUUUCUCUCAACAUGCAAGCAUGCCACCUCAUCAUUCAACAUGCAUAGAAAAAGGCUCACCUCAACAUGCGACUAUGCAUAUUAAAAAUCCACUUCCACAUGCAAGCAUGCAUUCAUGUAAAAUUCCAUUCUAUUUAUGAUGUUUACAUUUAAUUCUCAUAUACUUUCAACAACUAUUAUUUCAAAUAUUCAUGUUCCAUAUAACCAAAACCUCAUUGUAAUAUUGCAAAAUAUUCUCGCAACAAUGUGCGGGCAUCAUCUAGUUACUAAACAAGGCCUUGAAUGUGUAUUUUCCUUGAAUUUUUUAAUAUGUUAGGAUUUUUUUUAAGUUUCCUAAAAUUAUCAGAAUUCUAGUUUUCAUUUUAGAGAAUUUUAUCAAUUUUUAAUGAAACUUCCAUUUUUUAAUCAAAAUAUGACCCCAAAAAAAGUUAUACUAGAUAUGUAUAUCCUUCUAUUUUCUUAACCUCUUUAGUAAAAAAAAGUUUGAAACGUUCUCAGAAUGAUCAACAUGGUACUGUUCAUUUUAUAAAAUUAUUCGAUUUUUUUAGACACUUCCAUGUUUUCGUCAAAAAUUGGCAAAAGGAGGUCCUGAAUAUGUAUUUUUAUUGUGUGUUUUAAUCUAUUUUGACAAGAACUAUGCAAUUUUCACAGCAUGGUCAGCAUAGUAGUGUUCAUUUGGCAUUUUCAUAGUAGUGUUCAUUUGGCAUUUUUUAUGAAAUGUUUUGGCCGAUGACGUAGCGGUUGAUGUGGACGCUGACCGGGCGGGUGAACAGCAACCAGUUAAAUUGACAAUAACCAGUUUGAGGGGAGUCGGGAUUGAAAGUUGUUCAGUUUUCAAAGUAUAGUGUUGUGUCUUAGACAAUUUUGUAUUUCGGGGCUGUUUCUUAGUCAUUCAUGUCAAUUUUUCAUGGCUGAAUUAUGGACUCCUCUCAAUAGAGAGGGAACCCACACUUGGCCGGCCAAAAUAGUGCUGGCACCGUGAAGGUGGCGUCCAUGCCGAAUUUCAGAACGCUCUUGAUUGUUCAACUGCUUCCGUCCUCAUGCGCUCGCCUCAUGUUCAGCUGAUCUGUACUAAUGUGCUCGCCUCAUGCUAGGCUACUCAAUCCUCCUGUAUCCCAUGGCUCCCUUGCUCCUGCUCACUAGUCGUAUUCUCAUGUGCUAGCCUUAUGCUUGACUGCUCCGGCUUUUGCUCCCAUGUCACUACUAGGGAAAAGCCUAUAGGUAGAACAGUAGUAGUAGCGAGGGGUUGGCAGCCAUCGCUACUGUUGAUUAAAAGUAGCACGGUCCAGUAGAACGUGUUGCAGGUAGGAUUUAACAGUAGCACCGACCCUAUAAGUCCACGCUACCGCUAAGUGGUCCCCACCGUACACCCUGGGGCUAGCAAUAGUAGCAGUGUUGGGUAAAAACACGCACUACAACUACCAUGGUAGCAGUAGUGCGGGUUAACAAACAUGCGCUGCUACGGUAUAUACAAGGGGCCAGCAGGUGGGCCCCACUUAUCAGCAGUGCGGGUCAGUUGAGCAGCGCUGCAGGUAUUUUGCUUAGCAGUAGCGCCGGUGUCUUAACCCUCGCUACUACUAAUUAAGCUCACCUUAUCGUCCCGCUCGGCCAUCAAUUUCCUCAUUGUCUCACUCCACUCUUCCGCCCGAGCUCCCCGUCGCUGCCGCCCGCCGUCGCCGACCUCGCGUCAUCACCGUCUUCCUCCGGAGCCCGGCGCCUCGUCGCUGCUUCGUCUCCUCCCGAGCACCGACGCCCUUGCUCUUCCUCCCAAGCUCCACCUCGAAGGUAUUUUUCUCCCGCCCUAGUCCCUCCUCAUAUGCUCUCUGCCCCGAUCCCGCCUGAGCCCCAACGUCCAUGCUCUUCCUCCCGAGCCCCGUUGGUGAACCCUAGGUCGAUUGGGACGAACCCUAGGUCCAUUGUGAACUGAAAGAAAUCCCAAUUUCAAUGCACCAAAUGGCCGAAUUACAGGAAGUUUGUAUGAGACGUUUUGUAGGGCACAUCCCCAUGGUCCUUCACCCAUUUUGGCGCAGCCAUUUAGGCAGACGUGAGGCAUAUGCCUGAGACCUAGACGUAUUUUGGCAGCGGGCUUGGGCCCUGGUUUCGCGUACGCAUGCAGUAGCAGGCCCAGGUACGUGAGGCACAUCGAAGCAAAAAAGGCUGCUCUUUCAAGUGAAGGGCUGUUGUGGCCCAUCAGGUAUUCCAUCCGUCAUCAUCAUCAUAUCGGGCAAUUCCUAAACGGCGCCCGUUGCGCCCGUUUCUUCUAUUUCGACAAACGGGCGCACACCCUGUCUCCGCGAUGGGCCGGCCCCUUUUCAUGUUUUUUCGUUUUCUGAACUUGCUGCAAAAAAAACAGGGCAUUACGGGGAAUCGAACACGCGCCGCGGGGUUCUUUACAGAACGCGCUAACCAAAACAGCCAGGCCACCUUCUGUGAUUAUUUAAUUCCUCUUUCCUCUUUACUUCUCACAUGUUUUUCUUUUUUCUUUUUUUCUGUUGUUCUUUCUUUUUGCCUUUUCUUUUUCUUUUUUCCUUUUUCUGUCUUUUUCAAAAUCGACGAACUUUUUUUCAAUUUUCUGAACUUUCUUUCUUCAAAAUCGAUGAACUUUUUUCAUAUUCGGUGAACUUUUUGCAAAAUCGAUGAACUUUUCUCACCAAAUUCCAUGAACUUUUUCCAAAAUCGAUGAACUUUUUUUCAAAUUCAAUGGACUUUUUUUUGAAAACCAGUGAACUUUUUAAAAUUCGAUGAACUAUUUUCGAAUUGGAUGAACUAUUUUCAAUAUUCAAAAUAUGUUCAGAUUUUUCGAAAUUCGUUUGACUUUUCAGAAAAUGUUUUUCGAAAUUCCAAAUUUUGUUCAUGUUUUCUAAUUUUGUUCACGUUUCAAAAAUAGUUCUGAAUUCCAAUUUUUUGUUAACCGUAUUGAAGAAAAAAUUUCACCAUACAUUGAAAAAAUGUUCAGUGUGUAUAAAAAAAUGUUCAUCAUGUAUAUAAAUUUUGUUCAGCAUGCAUUCAAAAGGAGUUCAUCGUAUUUAAAAAAAAAGUUCUACGUGUAUUUGAAUAUUGUUCACCAUACAUUGAAAAAAAUGUUCAGUGUGUAUAAAAAAUGUUCAUCGUGUAGAGAAAUUUUGUUCAGCAUGUAUUCAAAAAAAGUUCAGCGUAUUUUAAAAAAAUGUUCUGUCUUUCUUUGAAUAAUGUUCACCCUAUACUAAGAAAAUGUUCAAUGUGUAUUCAGAACUAUUUUUGAAUACGCAUGCUCAAGAACUCCAUCCGUAAUGUUUGAACAUACUUUCAAUAAUUGAAAUGUAUAAAUGCCAGUGUAUUGUGCAAUAAAUAGCGCGUCUAUUUUCUGUUUAUUUAAACUUUCGCGGUGUGAAUAUCCGCUAGCAGUUAGCUAGUGCAGUGGCUAGCCUCACCGUGUGAAAGCGGGAGGGCGCGAGGUUGAAUCCCGGUCGGGUUGUAUUUUUGGCUGUCAUUUUUCGCGUUGCUUUGUUGCGUGAUCGUGGGCCGGCCCAGCCAACCGCUGCUGCGGGCGCCAGAUCCCUUGCGCGGCGCUGAAGGCGCCCUAUAGGAGGUCCCAUCAUAUCGACAUCCAUCGUUCGCGUUUGUUUCUCCGCGCGCCUGGGCCUGGCCUCCAUUGGAACCGCCUCGUGAUGUUUCCUUUCAAAUUCGGAGUUCAGAUCAGAUCCGGAUCAUGUUGGUUUGAUCGUCCCGUUCUCCCUGUCGAGUUCGGAUUCCCGUAUGCCCAGGCCCAGCACUCCCCACUAUAUAUAUAACGACAGGGAAAGCUCGAUCGGCACCGUAUCCAUUGACAGCGUGCAAGAAACGAAGGCCCCGACCAAAGCCAAGCAGCCAAUCGAUCCAUCUUUCCACGAUGUCGUUCUUCAACCUGCGUCUCUUCGCUUCCAUGGCAAUGGCGGACGUCCUCCGCUUCCCACUAGAAGACCUGCACCUGCACGAUCACGCGCCCAAGGAAGCAACGGCGGAACUCCCGCUGCCCGUCGGAUCGUCCCGUCAACAGCCCCAUCGCGUCGUCGACUGCUCGGAGGCAGGAGCUCCGCCAGCGCUAAUGUCUGAACUCUGAAGUAAUGCAUGUGUGAUAUGUUCAUGCGAGAGUUUGAGGAUUGCUAGUACUUUAGUAAUUAAUAUACUUUGACAGGAUUGUAUGAAUUUCAGUAUGCUAGUAGUAUGACAAGAUUGUACGAAUAUGCUACAAGUACUGUAGCACUAUAUAUAUAAGCUUACGCUUUACAACUUGGGAGGUGUUUGGUUCGUGCUUUUGUAAAUCCAUCCACUUGAAUCCAUCACUUUGAUCUAAUCUGUGUUUCUUUCACAACCUCUUUAUUACUACUGUAUAAAAAUAGCUAAUGGUGUAUAUAUAUAUAUAUAUAUAUAUAUAUAUAUAUAUAUAUAUAUAUAUAUAUACUAUGCGUAUAAUAUGAUGAGAUUAUUGUAUAAAAUAUGUACAAAUACAGCAUAAAUAUGUUGAAAAAAAUACAAAAAAUACUAACAGUAGCACGGGGACGGUGAAUAGCACCAACACCGGUUAGACCCGCACUGCUGCUACAUAUGAGUAGCAGUAGCGCGGGAUCAGACCCCAUUACUACUACUAAAAGUUAGGCCGCGUUACUGCUAGGCUUUUAACCCGCGCUACAUCUAGGGUUUUUCCUAAUAGUGUGUCUGGUGCGCCACAUCUUGCAGCUCCCAUGCUCCUGCAUUGUGCUGUCCUAUGCAUGGCCCGCAUCGACGCUGCUUUGAAAGUCCUGCCUUGGCUCACCCCUCGGUCUGCAGCCGUAGCGCUGCAGGCUUGUUCCUCCAUAGUUAGGCGAGAUUCAGGGGCUGGUAGCCGGCGGUGCUUUUUAUCCUUUUGACAUUUUGUACCAUUUGUAAGUGUCUCAUAUGAGUAUGUUGUAAGAAGAUGUUGGGAAGCGUUCCUACUCUUCUUGGAGAGCCGCGUGCGUUUAUUAUAUCGAGGGCAAAACAACCCGUGCCGUAGCGUACAAGAAAGAUCGAUGGUAGAGACCGAGCCUGGUUCGUUUACAGAGAGAGAGACAGAGAACGAUACAGGAGGGAAGAUAGUUAAGAUUACAUCAAGUAUAUGACUCAAACUCUAACUCUCCCUUAAUCUAAACUAUCUUAUGUUGAGAUUUCUUUUGAAUUCUUCAAAAGGCUUGACUGGCAAGGAUUUAGUGAACCCAUCUGCCACUUGAUCCUUAGAUGGAAUGAACCGUAUGUCCAACUUCUUCUCUACAACUCUUUCACGUACAAAAUGAAAAUCAAUCUCAAUGUGUUUGGUUCUGCCAUGAAACACUGGAUUAGCAAAAAGAUAAGUUGCUCCAAAAUUGUCACGCCAUAAACAGGAUGAACGAUAUUGCUUGAUUCCUAACUCAUGAAGCAAUGAUUCCAACCAAAUAAUUUUAGUUGUUGCAUUUGCUAGUGAUUUGUACUCAGCCUCUGUACUUGAUCUCGACACCGUGGCUUGUUUUCUAGCACUCUAAGAAAUAAGAUUUGAACCAAAGAACACUGCAAAUGCUCCCGUCAUCACUACAUCCUGCCCAGUCAGCAUCAGAGAAGGCAUUAACAAGUGUAGAAUUAGAACGUCUGAACUGAAGCCCCAAAUUCACAGUGUGUUUAAUGUAUCAUACAAUCCUUUUGACAGAUGUCUAAUGAGUGGAGGUAGGAGCAUGCCGAUAUUGACAAACCUUGUUUAGAGCAAAUGACUUGUUUAGCCAUGUCAAAGUCAAGUAUUGCAGGGCUCCAACAACACUUGUAUAUUUUGUGCUCUCCUCAUUAAGUGGUUCUACUUCAUAUGUUGAAAGUUAUUUUGAAGAAGACAAUGGUGUGGGCGAAGGUUUGCAAUCCUUCAUUCCCAUGCGAGUUAGAAGUCAAGUGGCAUAUUUUUCUUGAUUCAACACUAUACCAUCUUGAGUCUUCUUAACUUCAAUACCUAGGAAAAAAUGUAAGUCACCAAGAUCCUUCAAAGCAAACUCUCAACUCAGAUCAUGCAAGAGAGAAUUAGUGGCAUUUUAUGAGGAGCUUGCAACUAUAAUGUCAUCAACAUAUAUGAGAACAAAAAUCAAAAUGUUUGCCUUGUUACAAAUAAAGAGAGAUGUGUCUGCUUUGGAUGGAAAAAAACCAAGGUGCUUCAGCUGUGAACCCAACCUUGAGAACCAUGCUCUAGGUGACUGUUUCAGACCAUAAAGAGCUUUGUCAAGCUUGCAAACAUAGUGAGGUGUUUGCUUGUUUUCAUACCCUAAUGGAUGCCUCAUAUAUACCUGCUCUUCCAGAACACCAUGCAAGAACGCGUUCUGUACAUCCAACUGUCUCAGGCUCCAUCCCCUGGAUACGGCAAUAGCUAGAACAAGUCGUAUACUUUCAGCUUUUACAACAGGACUAAAAGUAUCCUCAUAAUCAAUGCCAUAACGUUGUUUAAAACCUUUUUCAACUAAACAUGCCUUGUACCUGUCAAUGGAGCCAUUUGCCUUCUUUUUUAUUCUAUAUACCCACUUGCAAUCAUUUUUUUACCAGAAACAGUAGGAAAGGCUCCUACUGUGUAAAUAUAUUAAAGUAAAGGAUCUGUACAGGGUGAAUAUUUACAUCAUGGGGGGAGGGGGGGUUAGACCACUUUGGGUCCCACCCAGAAGAAAUAGAAGGAGGGUCUAGUGUAAAGAGUUUACAAAAUCCAGCACGAGAGGCCUAUUUGCCUCUUUGACCCUAUGUUGCAGAAGUUCAAAGUCCUUCUUGAAUCUAUCUAGCCAGGAUCAGAAGGAUGGAUCGAUUGAUCUGAAAUGCUUGUUGUUUCUUUCCUUCCAAAUGCUCCACGCCGCCACAGCAAAUUUUUCAAACAGCAUGGGCGUAGGGUGGUUUGUUUUCUGGUCUUCAAUAGCUUGCACCCUAUCGCCAGAAGGUUCCCAGUUGAUAUCCAGGGCUCGCCAGCAUCUCUUACUAAACGUGCACGUAAACCCACUUGCAAUCAUUAACAGCUUUACCUCUCUGAUUUGGCACUAGAUGUCAUGUUUUGUUUUUCAUCAGUGCACUGUACUCUUCAUCCAUUGCCUUUUUCCAUCUAGAGUCUCCAAGUGCAUCACCUAAAUUUGUUGGUUCACCUGAAAUACAUAGCUUGCCAUAUGGUAUAGUACCGUCAUUCCUUAUUCUUGGAUUCCUAAUACCUUUUUGUAGCCGGGUCAUAACCCUUGUUGUGGUAGUGGUUGCACAGGGGGUUGUACAGCCUGACUAGAUGCAGAAGAUCCUAAAGAAUCCUCCACAUGUGCAGCCUAAGUCGAUGCAGUAGAUCACGUGGCCAUAUGUGUGUCUUCUCCCGAACUGGAGUUGGUCCAGGCCAUAGAACCCGAAGCCGCACGAGAUCCCGCGCUCGCCUUUUGCUACAUGCGGGCUGGCGCACCAGCCGUCGCUGCGGGUGGAUGCUCGCCCCUGCCGUCACUGUUGAUUGGACGCGGGUGGACCGCUGGGUCCCACGUGGAGACGCGGCAGCCAUGGAGUGGCUCCCCAAGCCCUGUAUGUUGUCACUUUCCUGGUUGCUGAUGGGCACCUGAUCCCAGGUGGAUUCAUGCGUGCGACCGACGCUGGCAGCCACACAGGCACCGCAGGAGCUGUUGGGGAACGUAGUAAUUUCAAAAAUUUCCUACGCACACGCAAGAUCAUGGUGAUGCAUAGCAACGAGAGGGGAGAGUGUUGUCUACGUAGCCUCGUAGACCGUAAGCGGAAGCGUUAUAUCAACGCGGUUGAUGUAGUCAUACGUCUUCACGAUCCGACCGAUCCAAGUACCGAAAGCACGGCACCUCCGAGUUCUGCACACGUUCGGCUCGAUGACAUCCUCGCCUUCUUGAUCCAGCAAGAGGGGCGAAGUAGUAGAUGAGUUCCGGCAGCACGACGUCGUGGUGACGGUGUUGGUGAAGAACAAUCUUCGCAGGGCUUCGCCUAAGCACUACGAAAACUAUGAUGGAGGAUAAACUAGAGGAGUCGGGGUUGCCGGCACACGGCUUGGUGUUUCUUGAUGUGUCUUGGGUGCUAGCCCUACCCCUCUAUUUAUAUGUUGAGCCUUGGGUUGAAACUUGGAGUAAAAGCCUCCACAAAGUCGGUUUCACCCGAAAGGCAAGAGUCCUUCUCGGACUCCAGGGCCAGACGCCAGGGUUCCCGGCGUCUGGACCCAGAUGCCAGGGACCCUGGCGUCUGGCCGCUGGACUCCACAAAACUUCCUUUUGCGCUUUCCAAAAACCUCGUGGGCUUUCCCAUUUGGCCCAGAUAAAGUGUUCUUGUGCCCAAACAUUUCGGGAAACAUACGGAACCCCUUCCGAUGGAAUCCGGAACCUUUCGGGAGAUCAAACACUACUAUACACAUAUCAAUCUUUACUUCCGGACCAUUCCGGAGUUCCUCGUCAUAUCCGGGAUCUCAUCCAAAACUCCGAACAACAUUCGGUCACCAACAUACAUAACACGUAGUACUAUAUCGUCAACGAACGUUAAGCGUGCGGACCCUAUGGGUUCGAGAACUAUGUAGACAUGACCGAGACACCUCUCUGGUCAAUAACCAAUAGCGGUACCUGGAUGCCCAUAUUGGCUCCUACAUAUUCUACGAAGAUCUUUAUCGGUCAGACCGCAUAACAACAUACGUUGUUCCCUUUGUCAUCGGUAUGUUACUUGCCCGAGAUUCGAUCGUCGGUAUCUCAAUACCUAGUUCAAUCUCGUUACCGGCAAGUCUCUUUACUCGUUCUGUAAUACAUCAUCCCGCAACUAACUCAUUAGUUGCAAUGCUUGCAAGGCUUAUAGUGAUGUGCAUUACCGAGUGGGCCCAGAGAUACCUCUCCGACAAUCGGAGUGACAAAUCCUAAUCUCGAAAUACGCCAACCCAGCAAGUACCUUCGGAGACACCUGUAGAGCACCUUUAUAAUCACCCAGUUACGUUGUGACGUUUGGUAGCACACAAAGUGUUCCUCAGGUAAACGGGAGUUGCAUAAUCUCAUAGUCAUAGGAACAUGUAUAAGUCAUGAAGAAAGCAAUAGCAACAUACUAAACGAUCGAGUGCUAAGCUAACGGAAUGGGUCAAGUCAAUCACAUCAUUCUCCUAAUGAUGUGAUCCCGUUAACCAAAUGGCAACUCAUGUCAAUGGCUAGGAAACAUAACCAUCUUUGAUUAACGAGCUAGUCAAGUAGAGGCAUACUAGUGACACUCUGUUUGUCUAUGUAUUCACACAAGUAUUAUGUUUCCGGUUAAUAGAAUUCUAGCAUGAAUAAUAAACAUUUAUCAUGAUAUAAGGAAAUAAAUAAUAACUUUAUUAUUGCCUCUAGGGCAUAUUUCCUUCAGUCUCCCACUUGCACUAGAGUCAAUAAUCUAGAUUACACAGUAAUGAUUCUAACACCCAUGGAGCCUUGGUGCUGAUCAUGUUUUGCUCGUGGAAGAGGCUUAGUCAACGGGUCUGCAACAUUCAGAUCCGUAUGUAUCUUGCAAAUUUCUAUGUCUCCCAUCUAGACUAGAUCCCAGAUGGAGUUGAAGCGUCUCUUGAUGUGCUUGGUUCUCUUGUGAAAUCUAGAUUCCUUCGCCAAGGCAAUUGCACCAGUAUUGUCACAAAAUAUUUUCAUUGGACCCGAUGCACUAGGUAUGACACCUAGAUCGGAUAUGAACUCCUUCAUUUGCUUCUUCCGAAGCAGCUAUGUACUCCGCUUCACACGUAGAUCCCGCCACGACGCUUUGUUUAGAACUGCACCAACUGACAACUCCACCGUUCAAUGUAAACACGUAUCCGGUUUGUGAUUUAGAAUCGUCCGAAUCAGUGUCAAAGCUUGCAUCAACGUAACCAUUUAUGACUAGCUCUUUGUCACCUCGAUAAACGAGAAACGUAUCCUUAGUCCUUUUCAGGUAUUUCAGGAUGUUCUUCACCGCUGUCCAGCGAUCCACUCCUGGAUUACUUUGGUACCUCCCUGCUAAACUUAUAGCAAGGCACACAUCAGGUUUGGUACACAGCAUUGCAUACAUGAUAGAGCCUAUGGCUAAAGCAUAGGGAACAUCUUUCAUCUUCUCUCUAUCUUCUGCAGCGGUCGGGCAUUGAGUCUUACUCAACUUCACACCUUGUAACACAGGCAAGAACCCUUUCUUUGCUUGAUCCAUUUUGAACUUCUUCAAAACUUUGUCAAGGUAUGUGCUUUGUGAAAGUCCAAUUAAGCGUCUUGAUCUAUCUCUAUAGAUCUUGAUGCCCAAUAUAUAAGCAGCUUCACCGAGGUCCUUCAUUGAAAAACUCUUAUUCAAGUAUCCCUUUAUGCUAUCCAGAAAUUCUAUAUCAUUUCCAAUCAACAAUAUGUCAUCCACAUAUAAUAUCAGAAAUGCUACAGAGCUCCCACUCACUUUCUUGUAAAUACAGGCUUCUCCAAAAGUCUGUACAAAACCAAAUGCUUUGAUCACAUUCAAAGCGUUUAUUCCAACUCCGAGAGGCUUGCACCAGUCCAUAAAUGGAUCGCUGGAGCUUGCACACUUUGUUAGCUCCCUUUGGAUCGACAAAACCUUCCGGUUGCAUCAUAUACAACUCUUCUUCCAGAAAUCCAUUCAGGAAUGCAGUUUUUACAUCCAUUUGCCAAAUUUCAUAAUCAUAAAAUGCGGCAAUUGCUAACAUGAUUCGGACAGACUUACGCAUCGCUACGGGUGAGAAGGUCUCAUCGUAGUCAAUCCCUUGAACUUGUCGAAAACCUUUCGCAACAAGUCGAGCUUUAUAGACAGUAACAUUACCGUCAGCGUCUGUCUUCUUCUUAAAGAUCCAUUUAUUCUCAAUGGCUUGCCGAUCAUCGGGCAAGUCAACCAAAGUCCACACUUUGUUCUCAUACAUGGAUCCUGUUGAGGAUAUAGACCUUAGAGUCACCCGCCAGGAGGGGCCGGUUUACUCGCGUGGUCAAUGCCAGAAGCCCGGAGCCAAGUUUGAAGACGGUGGGCCAGAGAUGGGCUGAGACCCGGAUACGGCUUAAAACCCAUAGUUACAAUCGUUAUUAUGGUAGAACUUGUAGUGUAAGGCAAGUAUGAUUGAGAGUCCGAGCCGGACACUCUUAUGAGCCGGCCGGGACUCUAAGGGCUGCUGGGCGUCAGCCUCCCUAUAUAAAGGGACGGCCCGGCAGCGGUUUAGGGCGACAACAAUCUCAUCGAGAGCCGGGCAUAGCUGUUUAGCUCACUGGCGAUCGUAACCCUAAUCAAUAUCACCUCAAACUGGACGUAGGCUUUUACCUUCACCGUAAGGGGCCGAACCAGUAUAAACCCUCGUGUUCCUUGUCCCACAUAACCCCUUCAAGCUUCCUAGUUGCGAUGGCUCCACUACUAACUCCUAACUCGAGGACAUCUGCCGUGACAAUUCCACGACAGUUGGCGCCCACCGUGGGGCCAGCGCACGGUGGAUUUGAGUUCUUGAAGGGCGGCUUCGAAGGGCUCAAGGGAUAUGUUGUGGGCCGGAUGACCAAGAGUCGUCGCGGCAAGCUUUACAUCGACAAUGCAAACUAGGGCCCCGACGCCGGCUCAAUUGAGUACGGGUACCGGGUCCCCUUCGGCGGAAUUCACGUUUUCAUUGGCAAGAUUGGUGAGCCGGGCCCAGAGCCGGGUCUCUGCGCUGAUCUCAUCGAGACGGCUCAGCUUGCGCGACCCGCCCAGGCCCGGCCUGCCUUAAGGCAUGCUUUUGUGGGAUGCAUCCAUGGAGGGCCCUCUGAUCCAUCUGGGUCUGGGGAUGAGGCGGCCGCCGGCUCUGACGGCGAGUCGGCCACUGAUGAGCCAAACUCGUUGUACCAACUUCAAGGUGGCAGGCUCAUGGGUUGUUCCGAUGGCGACAGUAUUCCGGACCUUUUUGAGCCACCAAGUCAGGUUGGAGUUUUUAUGGCUGGUGCACAGCCUGUUCAGAACCCCGCUGCUGGAUCGGGAAACCCGAUGCCUUCUCCGGCUCAGGUGCUGAUGGAUCUUACGGACAAGAUGACAGCCCUGUUAACCGCCACGGUUGACCCGGCGGAUCAAGCUCAGCAUGAUGCGGAGGUGGCGCAGUUAAAAUUGGAUCUGAUAAAAACUAAAGAGGAUCUUGCAGCAGAAGGGAUCAGGCUGGCUGCGGAGCGGGCGGCUCUCGACGCCCGGACUCAGCUGAUUCAGGCGCAGUCCUUCCAACUCACGAUGGAUCAGAACGCGGCCAAUGAGGUCAUGAGAAGGAGGCAUCAGAAGGCCCAGUCUCGACUCCCAUCGGUUUACGAUCCACGCAAUCUCUUCAACACGCCGGGUGCAGGGUCUAGUAACCCGCCAGGGGUCAUUGCGCCCGGGUCUGGACCCCUUACUCAGCCACGGGUGAUGGGGCCUCCCCAGGUGCCCCCUGCCCCGCCUCAAUAUGUGCCAAUACCCCCGGGUCAUUAUGAUAACCCGCUGGAGAACAUGGUAGCUGCGGCAGCACGGCUGGCGGCUCUCCCCGUUGACGGCAAUUCUCCGGCGGCCAUCGAAACCCGCCGGGUCAGGGAACUCCUACAGACGGCACUGGCACAGCAAGAGGCGUCCUCCUACAGCCGGGACCGGAUCCACUCGACCCCUCGUCCAGGCCAGAGCCCGAGUUACAGCCAGCACAUGGUCUCAGCAACCGGCUCAAGUAAUGUCCGACGCCAUGACCCGCCCCCUGGCCAUGGCCCGGCUCAUAAUGGAACCUUUUACGCAGCAGACCAAGCGCGGCAAGAGGCGGAGCAGGUACCUCAGUUGACGGCUUAUCAGACCCCCCCCGGCUUAUCCGACGACCUCCGUUGAUGUGGGUAUCCCUACUAGGACCGGGGGUGUCCCUUGUUUGGUGCCAGCUAUCCGUAAUGAACGUCUACCUAAGGACUUCAAAGGCCCUAGGAAGGUGCCUAACUAUACAGCUGACUUACAGCCUGCAGCCUGGAUUGAGAGUUAUGAGAUGGCUAUGGAAUUACUGGAGGUCAGUGAGGCGGCCAUGGCCAAGUAUUUCACCAUGAUGUUAGAUGGAACUGCUCGCACGUGGUUGAAAGGGCUACCACCGAAUUCCAUUGGGUCCUGGGCUGAGCUGAAAGCCCGGUUCAUCCAAAACUUCAAGGAUACCUGUAGGCAGUCUAUGUCAAUUGUGGAUUUGACUAACUGUAAGCAGCAGGAGGGUGAAUCCACGACCCAUUGGGUUCGCCGGGUCAAGGAGAUCAUACAUUCGUCAGAUAAGAUGGAUGCCGGCUCUGCAGUCUUAAUGUUGGAACAGAACUGCCGCUUUGUGCCCCUUAAGAUGAAACUCGGGCGGCUUAAGCGCGACUGCACCGAUAUGGGUACACUAAUGGCGGCUCUUGUCAAGUACGCCGAUUCCGAUGGUACCAAGGAUCCCCCUUUAGAUGAUGAAAGGACAGGGAAGGGAAAGAAGAACGGCAAUGGCAAGGGUCCUCAGUUUAACCCGAGGAACCAAGGAGGAGGCAAGCGCAAGGCCGAUGGCAGCCUGGAAUUUGUGGCCAAUGCCAACUCCCAAGGUAAUAACCAGCGACGCAAGGGGAGGCCCCCUCCCCGAGGCGGCGGGUCAGGUCCGACGCUGGAGCAGCUGUUGAAUGAACCUUGUCCAAGGCAUGGCUCUAGAGAAAAGCCAGCGACUCAUCUGUGGAAGGAUUGCGCGAUCAUGAAGGCCUUUAAGAAUUACAAUGGCCCGGGUGGCGGUUCAGGUGCUGGCGGCUUUCAUGGCCCGGGCGGCGGCUCAAAUUCCGGUCCUCAGAACGGUCAAGGGGGCUUUAAUCAACAGUCUGGCCAGGGUCAUCAACAGCAGCAGGGGGGUUAUCAGACCAAUCCAAAGCAGCUAAGUGGUGGACAGUAUCAUGUAUUUACCACUAGUCUGUGCAAGCGAGAUCAGAAGAUUCACAAGAGGGCUGUGAAUGCUGUUGAGCCGGCAGUCCCACGCUACUUACGAUGGUCUGAGAAGCCCAUAGUGUGGAGCAGGGAGGAUCAUCCUCCUCGGGUGGAUAACCCGGGCCACUUGGCCUUAGUGGUGGCUCCUCAAGUGGGAGGUUAUAAGUUCACAAAGGUGCUCAUGGAUGGAGGCAGUAGCAUCAACAUCCUCUAUUAUGAGACUUUUCGCCGUAUGGGGUUAGUUGAUAAGAACCUCAGCCAGUCAAACACUAUCUUCCAUGGUGUGGUACCUGGUAAGUCGGCUUAUCCAGUCGGCAAGAUCGAAUUGGAAGUGGCUUUUGGGGAUGAGAAUAACUACAGGGUGGAGAAAUUGACCUUUGAAGUGGUCAAGAUAAGAAGUCCAUACCAUGCUAUAUUUGGACGGCCGGCUUACGCCAAGUUCAUGGCACGGCCGUGUUAUGUGUAUUUACAGCUCAAGAUGCCGGGUCACAAUGGGACCAUUACGGUUCACGGAAGCCGGAAGGUGGCUCUGGAGUGUGAGGAAGGUGAUGCAGCUUAUGCAGAGUCUGUUUGUGCUACAGAGGAGUUGAAGUUUUACAAAGACAAUGUUGACCCAACAGAUAUGACCUCUCUAAAGAAACCAACUACGGAGACUGAGCCGGCAAUGAAAUUUAAGUCGGCUGAUGAAACUAAGCUUGUUGAUUUUGUUCCAGGAGAUUCAUCUCAGCAGUUUAGCAUCAGUGCCAAUCUGGAUCCAAAAUAGGAAGGCGCGCUCAUCGAGUUCAUCCGUGAGAAUAGGGACAUCUUCGCAUGGAAACCUUCUGACAUGCCAGGUGUACCUAGAGAACUCGCUGAGCAUACUCUCAAUGUUGAUCCGAAAUUUAAGCCGGUCAGACAGUUCCUUCGACGGUUUAAUGAGGAGAGGCGGAAAGCCAUUGGUGAAGAAGUGGCCCAGCUCUUGGCUGCCGGGUUUAUUGUUGAAGUCUUUCACCCGGAGUGGUCAGCUAACCCGGUGCUCGUGCUCAAGAAGAAUGGCACCUGGCGGAUGUGUGUGGACUACACGGACUUAAACAAGGCGUGUCCGGCUGAUCCUUUUGCCCUCCCCCGUAUUGAUCAAAUCAUUGAUGCUACGGCAGGUUGUGCACGCUUAAGUUUCUUGGAUGCUUAUUCCGGAUAUCAUUAGAUUAAGAUGGCAGUUAAGGACCAGGAGAAGACGGCGUUCAUCACUCCUUUUGGAGCCUUCUGCUAUGUGUCUAUAUAUGCCCUUUGGACUCAAGUGUGCGCAGGUGACUUACCAGCGUUGUGUACAGAAUUGUCUUCAUAAGCAGAUCGGGCGCAAUGUUCAUGCAUACGUGGACGAUAUUGUGGUUAAAUCCAUCAAAGAGGAAACCCUGAUAGAUGAUUUAAGAGAAACCUUUGAUAAUCUCCGGGUCUAUAAGAUGAUGCUUAACCCGGCCAAGUGUGUCUUUGGUCUCCCUGCAGGCAAGCUCUUGGGUUUCUUGGUUUCUGACAGAGGCAUUGAGGCUAACCCGGAGAAGAUCAAGGCCAUCACCUCCCUGGCUAAGCCGGCGUGUAUAAAUGAUGUUUAGCGCUUCGCGGGUCGCAUCGCUGCUUUAAGCCGGUUUAUAAGCCGUUUGGGUGAAAAGGCCAUGCCCUUAUAUCAGUUGAUGAAGAAAACUGAUAACUUUGUCUGGAAUGAUGCAGCUAAUACCGCUUUUGAAGAAUUGAAGAAACAACUGGCAGAGCCCCCGGUCCUUGCUGCUCCGGUUGAUAAGGAGCCCUUACUACUAUAUGUGGCGGCAAAUGCACGAGCAGUCAGCGUGGCUAUUGUGGUGGAGCGCAAGGAGGCGGGUAAGGAGCAUCCGGUUCAGCGGCCGGUUUAUUAUGUCAGCGAAGUGCUCAUUGAGUCUAAACAGCGGUACCCGCAUUGGCAGAAGCUUGUGUAUGGUGUGUUCAUGGCGAGCCAGAAGCUUAAGCAUUAUUUUCAGGGUCAUCCCAUCACUGUGGUCAGUUCUGCCCCUCUUGGUGAUAUCAUUCAAAACAGAGAGGCCACAGGGAGAAUUGCUAAGUGGGCUAUAGAACUUGGACCCCAUGGUCUCAAAUAUGUGCCACGCACUGCUGUUAAAUCUCAGGCUUUGGUGGAUUUCAUCAAUGAUUGGACAGAAUCACAAGUGCCCGAGCAGAAGCCGGAUAACACAUAUUGGACUAUUCACUUUGACGGGUCCAGGCAGUUGGAGGGCUCGGGGGCUGGUGUUGUAUUAGCCUCCCCUAAAGGUGACAAGUUCCAUUAUGUGUUACAGUUGAUGUUUCCUUGCACUAACAAUGCGGCUGAGUACGAGGCCUUGUUCUAAGGAGAUGAGCUUGAGCCGGGUAAGGUGCUUCGGCGACUCAGACUUGGUGGCUCAACAGGUAUCAGGCAAGUGGGACUCUAAGGACCCUCUAAUGGCGGCUUAUCGCCGCGAAGUUGAUGCCAUUGCGGGGCACUUUCAGGGCUACCAAGUAGAGCACAUUGAUCGCAGGAAGAACGAGGCGGCUAAUGCUUUAAGCCGGCUAGGCUCUCAGCGAAAGCCGGUGCCGCCUAACACUUUCCUGGAUGUCCUGUAUAACCCUUCGGUUAAGUUGCCUACAGAGGAGGACUUGGCUAUCCCUGACCCGGAGGCACGACUGGUGGCGGCUCUCCAUGUCAUACCAGAAUGGACAAUGCCAUAUCUGGCUUAUAUAACCCGGGGAGAGUUGCCUGAGGAUGAAACUUUGGCCAGGCAAAUAACCCGGCGGGCUAAGUCAAUGAUCAUCAUCGAUGGCGAGUUACAUCAUCGCAGUGUUUCAGGGGCAUUUCAGCGUUGUAUCUCCCCUGAGGAAGGCCAAGAGAUCUUGCGUGAGAUCCAUGAAGGGGAUUGUGGCCAUCACGCCGGCUCAAAAUCCCUUGUAGCCAAGGCUUUCCGUCAUGGUUUUUAUUGGCUGACGGCUCAUGCUGAUGCAGAGGACUUGGUCAGUAAAUGUGAUGGUUGCCAAAAGUUCUCACGACGGGCUCAUGUGCCGGCUCAGGAGUUUAGGAUGAUCCCAAUCACUUGGCCCUUUGCGGUCUGGGGGCUUGAUAUGGUUGGGCCUUUUAAACGGUCCAAGGAUAAGAAGACCCACCUCUUGGUGGCAGUUGACAAAUUCACCAAGUGGGUGGAAGCUGAGCUAGUUAGCAAGUGCGAUGCAGCCACGGCGGUUCAAUUUAUGAAAAAAAGGUGAUUUUCCGCUUUGGUUUUCCACACAGCAUUAUAACUGACAAUGGCACCAAUCUCUCCAAAGGCGCCAUGGAAGAAUUUUGUCAACGAGAGCAUAUCCGACUUGAUGUUUCUUCAGUGGUUCAUCCUCAAUCCAAUGGUCAGGCUGAGAGAGCUAAUCAGGAGAUUCUAAAGGGUAUCAAGCCCCGGCUUUUGGUCCCUUUGCAGCGGACGCCGGGUUGUUGGGUGGAGAAGUUGCCCUCCGUCUUAUGGAGUAUCAACACUACUCCUAACAGGUCAACAGGCUUCACGCCUUUCUUCAUGGUUUAUGGAGCAGAAGCAGUCCUUCCUAGUGACAUCCGUCACGACUCACCUCGCGUGGCGGCUUACGUUGAGACGGAUAAUGAACAGGCGCGUCAAGAUGCUCUUGACUUGUUGGAUGAACAGCGUGAUGUGGCAGCAGCCCGGUCAGCGAUUUACCAACAAGACUUGCGCCGUUAUCAUAGCCGCCGGGUCAAAUCCCGGGUCUUCCAGGAAGGCGACCUUGUGCUCCGGCUCCUCCAGGAUCAAACAGAUGCACACAAGUUAUCCCCACCUUGGGAAGGGCCCUUUGUGGUCAGCAAGAACUUGCACAACGGGUCAUAUUACCUCAUUGAUAUUCGGGAGCACAAAGAUUCACGUAAAUCUGAGGAAGAGACCCGUCGGCCGUGGAACAUAGCUCAGCUUCGGCCUUACUACACUUGAGCUACCGGCUCUCGUGGUGUACAUACUUAUCUCAGCCAUGUAUAUAUUAUGAUAAGCAAUAAAGCAGGACCUCUGUCUUUUUCUCUCCUCCAAAUAUGUGUGCGUUGUUUUUAUUACAAGAUUACAUGCUGACUUAAAGGAGGAUCCGGCUUACGAUCGUAUUCGAAUCUAGCCGUAAGCAGUAAAGUCACUUGGGGGCUUCCUGUUCAAACAUGGGUCGUAUUCGAACCAAAGAGAACAUAGCUGUCGAUACCCAUUUGAUUGGCAAAGUGUCGAGCUCAUUGGGAGGUUAUCUUUGGUCAUAUUUGAAUCAUAGUUUAACCCCUCUGAGAACCGACGUGGAUCGUAUUCGAAUCAGCGUCGUUAAACAAUUUUAAAUCACUUGGGGGCUUCCUGUUCAAACAUAGGUCGUAUUCGAACCAAAGAGAACAUAGCUGUCGGUACCCUCUUGAUUGGCAUCGCCAACCCACUGGGGGCUAUGUGAUCGUAUCCGAAUCUUAGCUUAACCCCUUUGGGCCGGGUUUCUGGUCGUAUUCGAACCGGAAGCCCCUAAGUUCUUAUAUUUUAUCACAAGUUUACUCUGAUUACGUCAAGGUGUGUACUGCCGGGUCUCACUUGCCGGCUUAAUUCUGGUUUAUCUUGUUAGUUGAACAUCAUGGAUGUCAUCAAGGCAAGUAAAUUAGAGUUAAGGUACCAACCGUGCUACCCGGGUUAUUUAAACCGGAAGUAUGCUUACAGGCCGUUAAGUGUGUUAUCACGGCUAUGUUCAGAGUAUAACUAAGGACCAGUCUUUUUUGAUUCGUAUUCCGGGUUAUCCAUCUCAAACACCUGAUUCUCAGGGCGGUAAGCCGCCUUGAGACUUGUGAUUUGCCUUUCUAUGCAGAUACUUAAAGGCACCUUUUAAGGUUGAGAAGGACAAAGGGAUGAUUAUGACCCGGAGAAACAUCAAAAGGAUAACUUCAAGGGAUUUCAGCAUUCAUUACGUGCACGAUGGCACGGCAGAGAUAAAUUGUUGCACCUAUUCUAUUACAAAAUUCAUCAAGUCUCAAGGAUGGAGCAUUGUUCGGUGAACCGCCAGCCGAUUUAUGAUGCCUGCUGAGUCAAAGUCUCCGGCUCGUUCCUGUCCUCUCCUCCGGCUGAUCCCAAGACUUGGAAAGUUGAUGACUUCCAGUCGAUGCUGCGGAGAGCUUCGAAUUGGGCUUCUUCAUCAAUUAACCCCGCCGGGUCAAUCUCUGGGGCAAAGGUCUGCUGACGAGCCGGCGGAAUUAAACUCUGGUCUUCAUAGCGAGGGGUUGGAAUCCUCUGAUUCUCCGCAUUGUAGCCCGGCUGGUACUUGGUUAGAUCAGUGUCGUCCCUGAUAAGGGUGGCCACCGGGCGUACAGCCUUCACGCACGCUGCGAAGUCCUUCUGAUCGAACGCUGAGCCGUCUUCCUUCAGGCUUGGAUAACCCAGGGCGAUGUCCGUCGGGUCUAGCUCCGGCAGAAAUGCCUUGGCCCGGCUCAGCGCGGCGAUCGCUCCGGCUCUCGCAGAGGCCCGUCGCAGCUCUUGGAUCCGCUGAGGCAGAACGGCGAGCCGGCGCAGGACUUCGGCCAGAUGAGUUGGCACCUCGUUGGAUAGGGCCACCACAGCUAAGGCGCGCUGUGACCCGGUGUAGAGCUGUUCCACCAGGGUGUACACGGCCUUUAACUUGGUGACCACGCUCUGGUUGAGGUUGGCACUCCUGGGACCUGUUUAACAGAAUCAGCUAAGCCGGUGACAAGGAUGAAUCAUGACAUAUACAAACUUGAUGAAAGCCGGUGUGGCGACUUACCAAAGAUAGCAGCCACCAUUUGGGAAACCUGGCGCUUUAGGCCGGAGAGCUCGGCGGUCUUCUCAGCGAGGGCCUUCUCCGCCUGUUCCGCCCGGGUCACCAGUGCGGCCUUCUCUUUGACCCAGGCUUUUCUCUCAGCAUCAAAUUCAGUCUUCAACUUUUCUUGAGUGGCGAUGCUGGAUACAAACUUGGCGUUUGCCUACCGGGUCUCCAUCUCCUGCAUCUUUAGCUGGCUCUUGAGAUCCGCAAGAUCCGCCUCUAGUUUCUUGCCGGCAGCCUGCAUAUAUUUCCGGGUUAAUUAACAGUCAUCAUAUAAGUCCCAAGCGUUUUCCAAGCAAAGACACUUGGCACUUGGGGGCUAAUGCAUGUUGAACGUAUCUAUCUACAUACUGCCGGCUCAAUUGAGUAAGCCGGAACCUAAGUCUACAACAUAUUCAAGUAUAAGUUGUCGACUUGGGGGCUAGCAUGGCAAAGGUAACUAUGCAGUAAAGUAAGAAGGCAGCAGAAGGAUACCUCAGAUUUUUGUUGGAUCUGGUUGACCAUGGCAACCUCGGCAUCCCGGCUCUUGUGUACUUGGCUGAUGUAGCCGGAGAGGUCCAGGUUCACCCGGUGGGGCUGCAGUAACUCCCCCUUCGCGGAGCAUUUGGCCAACGCGGUCGGUCUCCCCGGCUCAACGAAUUCCGUCCGGGUGAUUACCACGUCCGGGUCGUCUGCUGGUGGAGCUGAGCCGGAGGCCUCCGGAUUAACCGAAGCUUCGGUCGUUGCCUUGGUGGUCGGGGCAGGGGCCUCAGGCGCCGUGUCCAUUGGAGUGGCGGCUUCGGGGGCGGAGGCAGCUGGCGGUUCUUGGACUGUCACCUCCGGCUCAGGCAAGUCCGACACUCCGGCCGACUUGGUUUUCUUCACCCUCUUGGUGAGCUUUGCUUGAGCACUGAAAGAACAACAAAGGUUAGUACAAAGCAUAUGAGUAGAGAUCAGAACGACAUGAGAUGAUUGUUGUUACCCGGGCGCGGUCUUGAAAGCCGACAGAUUUGACUGCAUGGAGUCACCCGAAGAGGGGGAGGUCUCCUGAUAAUUGGAGUCAGAAGAGUUGAGUGGCUGACGGAUAACACCCGCCAACGGAUGAAAAGGGUAUAAGUGAGAAAAAACCUCAGUGCGACGCUUCCUUGUUGCGUCGGGUAACCCGGCAGAGAGGUCGGUGUCCCUGCGGGCCCGGGUGUGACGCCGGCUUUCGUGAACCUGCUGCUUCAAAAGAAAUUGAGGGUCUUGAUGAGCUAACAGAUGUGAAAAGCUUACUUUCCGGGUUACUCUUCAGACUUUCAGCUGUGGCAAAGGCUCCGAGUCGGAGGAAAGUGACAUUACCUCUUCAACCACCGGGUUACUGGCGCCGGUGUCAUCCUGUCAAUGAGCAAAGUGUUGAUAAGGUGGACAGCAACAAACAACAAGUAUAGCAAGAAUUUAAAGGUUUAAGGGUUACCUCUGACUCGGAGCUUUCGCUUAAUUGCAUUAGCUCCGAAGCAGUGGGUCGGCUUCCCUUUUUGCGAGGGGCGGCUUUCUUGGCGGCUUUCUUCGCCUUCCUGGCUUUCUUGGCCGCUUCAUGGUCAUAUUUGACCCGCCAGAACUUAUCAUCAGCCUGAAAGAUACAAUGAUUGAUUCUUAAAACGGUUCAGAUAAAGGUUAUAUACAGACGAAGAUAAAAGUUAAAGUCAGCGGCUUACCGCUGGGGCUGGAUUGGUCUUCCAGAAGGGGGCUAACCCGGUUCUUCCGCAAUCUGCCAGGCUCUCGUUUAGAAGAGCCUUGGUCUCUUCCUCUGCAACGUCUUCUGGAAGAUCAUUGUGACUGUGCCUCUGCGGGUCAUCCUUUCGCCCGGUGUACUCACACAUUAAACCGGGGCGGUGGCUUAAUGGGAUCACCCGCCAUGAGAUCCAGACCCGGACCAGGUCAAUUCCGUUCAGACCGUUGCCUAGCAGGGCCUUGAUUUUAUUGAUAGUUGGAAGCAGAGGCUGGCGUUCCGCUGCAGUCAGUUUGUCCGACAGCGGAUGAGUCGGCUCUAGACGUGUUGAGCGAAAGCCGGGCAGCGGGUUUUCAUCAGCCGGGGACGUAUCUUGGCAGUAGAACCAAGUCAUAUUCCAGUCCUUGGGGUGGCUCGGCGGCUCUGCAUAAGGGAACAGACAGUCCCUACGCCGUUGGAUGGAGAUGCCACCUAACUCCAGACUUGGCCCGUUGGCGCAUUCAUUCUGGCGGUUUAAAUAAAACAGCUCUCUGAAGAGCAGCAGACUAGGCUCUUCUCCAAGAUACACUUCGCAAAAGACUUGGAAGUUGCAGAUGUUGGAUACGGAGUUGGGUCCUAUAUCCUGAGGCCGUAGGUCAAAGAAGUUGAGCACGUCCCUGAAAAACUUUGAGCCGGGCGGUGCGAAGCCCCGGCUCAUAUGAUCCGCGAAAAUCACUACUUCCCCGUCCCUCGGCUGUGGUCUUUCUUCUGACGGGUCAGGGGCACGGUAGGACAUCACUUCCUUCUUGGGCAGAUAUCCGGACUUAACAAAAUUGGCUAGGGUCUCGUCGGUGACGUUGGACCUCAUCCAGUUGCAAGUGAUGGGAGCCUUAGGAGGCAUGGUGAAAGUUGGUGGUCUAUGACAAAGGGAAAAAAUGUCCGGGUUAAUUAUAAGCCGGCGAUAUACAGUUUAAACUGAGGUGGCGGCUUAUGAAGGGGACUAAUGAUAUAUACUCAAUUAAGCCGGAGAAUUCUACAAGGCACGGUUCUCUUUAAACCGGAGGAUUCUACAACGCGAGGGUUCUUUAACCCGGGAUUGUAAGCCGCCAAGAUUCAAUGGUUGCAGUUUUUACUAAGUAUGGUAAAACAGGUUUCACAUAUGGCAGUAACUUUUUUGGAUCAAAAUGGUCGGGUGAAACGAAAAUUUUCUAGACCUAGAAACAGACGAGCGGAUGUUCUUGAGCUCGAACGAAGCAUCUAUACAGUAGAAGAAGAUCUACUGGCACUUGAAAUGAGGCCUAAACAACUACCACACUAGUUCUAUACAAGGCUAAAGAUCAAACAAGUGCAGUAACUAGGAGAACUACCGAACUUGCGGGCAAUGGUGACGAACACGAAGAACUGGAGGAACCCUACUGCAGAUCUACUCUACGGGGUGGUGAGAACUUACCGGAGCUGAAGAGGUGCGGGAGUCGUCGCCGUUUGUCUGGUCCGGGUCAGGGUGAUGCAACGGCCAAGGUUGACGAAGACCGGAGGCGAGACGACGGCGGUGGANNNNNNNNNNNNNNNNNNNNNNNNNNNNNNNNNNNNNNNNNNNNNNNNNNNNNNNNNNNNNNNNNNNNNNNNNNNNNNNNNNNNNNNNNNNNNNNNNNNNNNNNNNNNNNNNNNNNNNNNNNNNNNNNNNNNNNNNNNNNNNNNNNNNNNNNNNNNNNNNNNNNNNNNNNNNNNNNNNNNNNNNNNNNNNNNNNNNNNNNNNNNNNNNNNNNNNNNNNNNNNNNNNNNNNNNNNNNNNNNNNNNNNNNNNNNNNNNNNNNNNNNNNNNNNNNNNNNNNNNNNNNNNNNNNNNNNNNNNNNNNNNNNNNNNNNNNNNNNNNNNNNNNNNNNNNNNNNNCACGACGCCUCGAUUUUCGGAAUGACAGUAAAGCAAAGAUCCGUUGUGGAUCUGGCGGAGUAAAAAACGGACUUAAUGGAGGAUGACGUCAUGGCGGAUUAUCCGGAGUCCAGAGGAUGACGCCACUCCGGGUUAUGGCCUUCGCAUGAAUGGUAAGCCGGAGAUUUUUUCUGUCAGAAGAGUUGAAGAUUGACAUGAGCCGGCUCAAAUCAAUCUGGGGCCUAAUGUUGAGGAUAUAGACCUUAGAGUCACCCGCCAGGAGGGGCCGGUUUACUCGCGUGGUCAAUGCCAGAAGCCCGGAGCCAAGUUUGAAGACGGUGGGCCAGAGAUGGGCUGAGACCCAGAUACGGCUUAAAACCCAUAGUUACAAUCGUUAUUAUGGUAGAACUUGUAGUGUAAGGCAAGUAUGAUUAAGAGUCCAAGCCGGACACUCUUAUGAGCCGGCCGGGACUCUAAGGGCUGCUGGGCGUCAGCCUCCCUAUAUAAAGGGACGGCCCGGCAGCGGUUUAGGGCGACAACAAUCUCAUCGAGAGCCGGGCAUAGCUGUUUAGCUCCCUGGCGAUCGUAACCCUAAUCAAUAUCACCUCAAACUGGACGUAGGCUUUUACCUUCACCGUAAGGGGCCGAACCAGUAUAAACCCUCGUGUUCCUUGUCCCACAUAACCCCUUCAAGCUUCCUAGUUGCGAUGGCUCCACGACUAAGUCCUAACUCGAGGACAUCUGCCGUGACAAUUCCACGACAGAUCCCAUCUCAGAUUUCAUGGCCUCAAGCCAUUUUGCGGAAUCUGGGCUCACCAUCGCUUCUUCAUAGUUCGUAGGUUCAUCAUGGUCUAGUAACAUAACCUCCAGAACAGGAUUACCGUACCACUCUGGUGCGGAUCUUACUCUGGUUGACCUACGAGGUUCAGUAACAACUUGAUCUGAAGUUCCAUGAUCAUCAUCAUUAACUUCCUCACUAAUUGGUAUAGACGUCACAGGAACCGAUUUCUGUGAUGAACCACUUUCCAAUAAGGGAGCAGGUACGGUUACCUCGUCAAGUUCUACUUUCCUCCCACUCACUUCUUUCGAGAGAAACUCCUUCUCUAGAAAGGAUCCAUUCUUAGCAACGAAUGUUUUGCCUUCGGAUCUGUGAUAGAAGGUGUACCCAACAGUCUCCUUUGGGUAUCCUAUGAAGACACAUUUCUCCGAUUUGGGUUCAAGCUUAUCAGGUUGAAGCUUUUUCACAUAAGCAUCGCAGCCCCAAACUUUAAGAAACGACAACUUUGGUUUCUUGCCAAACCACAGUUCAUAAGGCGUCGUCUCAACGGAUUUUGAUGGUGCCCUAUUUAACGUGAAUGCAGCCGUCUCUAAAGCAUAACCCCAAAAUGAUAGCGGUAAAUCAGUAAGAGACAUCAUAGAUCGCACCAUAUCUAGUAAAGUACGAUUACGACGUUCGGACACACCAUUACGCUGUGGUGUUCCGGGUGGCGUGAGUUGCGAAACUAUUCCGCAUUGUUUCAAAUGUAGACCAAACUCGUAACUCAAAUAUUCUCCUCCACGAUCAGAUCGUAGAAACUUUAUUUUCUUGUUACGAUGAUUUUCAACUUCACUCUGAAAUUCUUUGAACUUUUCAAAUGUUUCAGACUUAUGUUUCAUUAAGUAGAUAUACCCAUAUCUGCUUAAAUCAUCUGUGAAGGUGAGAAAAUAACGAUAUCCGCUGCGAGCCUCAACAUUCAUCGGACCACAUACAUCUGCAUGUAUGAUUUCCAACAAAUCUGUUGCUCGCUCCAUAGUUCCGGAGAACGGCGUUUUAGUCAUCUUGCCCAUGAGGCAUGGUUCGCAAGUACCAAGUGAUUCCAAAAGUCCAUCAGUAUGGAGUUUCUUCAUGCGCUUUACACCAAUAUGACCCAAACGGCAGUGCCACAAAUAAGUUGCACUAUCAUUAUCAACUCUGCAUCUUUUGGUUUCAACAUUAUGAAUAUGUGUAUCACUACUAUCGAGAUUCAUCAAAAAUAGACCACUUUUCAAGGGUGCAUGACCAUAAAAUAUAUUACUCAUAUAAAUAGAACAACCAUUAUUCUCUAAUUUAAAUGAAUAACCGUCUCGCAUCAAACAAGAUCCAGAUAUAAUGUUCAUGCUCAACGCUGGCACCAAAUAACAAUUAUUUAGGUCUAAUACUAAUCCCGAAGGUAGAUGUAGAGGUAGCGUGCCGACGGCGAUCACAUCGACUUUGGAACCGUUUCCCACACGCAUCGUCACCUCGUCCUUGGCCAGUGUUCGCUUAAUCUGUAGUCCCUGUUUUGAGUUGCAAAUAUUAGCAACAGAACCAGUAUCAAAUACCCAGGUGCUACUGCGAGCUCUGGUAAGGUACACAUCAAUAACAUGUAUAUCACAUAUACCUUUGUUCACCUUGCCAUCCUUCUUAUCCGCCAAAUAGUUGGGGCAGUUCCGCUUCCAGUGACCAGUCUGCUUGCAGUAGAAGCACUCAGUCUCAGGUUUAGGUCCAGACUUGGGUUUCUUCUCUUGAGCAGCAACUUGCUUGCUGUUCUUCUUGAAGUUCCCCUUCUACUUCCCUUUUCCCUUUUCUUGAAACUGGUGGUCUUAUUAACCAUCAACACUUGAUGCUCCUUCUUGAUUUCUACCUCCGCAGCUUUUAGCAUUGCGAAGAGCUCGGGAAUCGUCUUAUCCACCCCUUGCAUGUUAUAGUUCAUCACGAAGCUCUUGUAGCUUGGUGGCAGUGAUUGAAGAAUUCUGUCAAUGACGCUAUCAUCCGGAAGAUUAACUCCCAGUUGAAUCAAGUGAUUAUUAUACCCAGACAUUUUGAGUAUAUGCUCACUGACAGAACUAUUCUCCUCCAUGUUACAGCUGUAGAACUUAUUGGAGACUUCAUAUCUCUCAAUCCGGGCAUUUGCUUGAAAUAUUAACUUCAACUCCUGGAACAUCUCAUAUGCUCCAUGAUGUUCAAAACGCCGUUGAAGACCCGGUUCUAAGCCGUAAAGCAUGGCACACUGAACUAUCGAGUAGUCAUCAGCUUUGCUCUGCCAGACGUUCAUAACAGCUGGUGUUGCUCCUGCAGCAGGUUUGGCACCUAGCGGUGCUUCCAGGACUUAAUUCUUCUGUGCGGCAAUGAGGAUAAUCCUCAAGUUACGGACCCAGUCCGUGUAAUUGCUACCAUCAUCUUUCAACUUUGCUUUCUCAAGGAACGCAUUAAAAUUCAACGGAACAACAGCAUGGGCCAUCUAUCUACAAUCAACAUAGACAAGCAAGAUACUAUCAGGUACUAAGUUCAUGAUAAAUUUAAGUUCAAUUAAUCAAAUUACUUAAGAACUCCCACUUAGAUAGACAUCCCUCUAAUCCUCUAAGUGAUCACGUGAUCCAAAUGAACUAAACCAUAACCAAUCAUCACGUGAAAUGGAGUAGCUUUCAAUGGUGAACGUCACUAUGUUGAUCAUAUCUACUAUAUGAUUCACGCUCGACCUUUCAGUCUCAGUGUUCCGAGGCCAUAUCUGCAUAUGCUAGGCUCGUCAAGUUUAACCUGAGUGUGCAAAACUGGCUUACACCCGUUGUAGAUGGACGUAGAGCUUAUCACACCCGAUCAUCACGUGGUGUCUGGGCACGACGAACUUUGGCAACGGUGCAUACUCAGGGAGAACACUUUUAUCUUGAAAUUUAGUGAGAGAUCAUCUUAUAAUGCUACCGUCAAUCAAAGCAAGAUAAGAUGCAUAAAAGAUAAACAUCACAUGCAAUCAAUAUAAGUGAUAUGAUAUGGCCAUCAUCAUCUUGUGCUUGUGAUCUCCAUCUCCGAAGCACCGUCCUGAUUACCAUCGUCACCGGCGCGACACCUUGAUCUCCAUUGUAGCAUCGUUGUUGUCUCGCCAAUCUUAUGCUUCUGCGACUAUCGCUACCGCUUAGUGAUAAAGUAAAGCAUUACAGGGCGAUUGCAUUGCAUACAAUAAAGCGACAACCAUAUGGCUCCUGCCAGUUGCCGAUAACUCGGUUACAAAACAUGAUCAUCUCAUACAAUAAAAUAUAGCAUCAUGCCUUGACCAUAUCACAUCACAACAUGCCCUGCAAAAAACAAGUUAGACGUCCUCUACUUUGUUGUUGCAAAUUUUACGUGGCUGCUACGGGCUUAGCAAGAACCAUUCUUACCUACGCAUCAAAACUACAACGAUAGUUUGUCAAGUUGGUGAUGUUUUAACCUUCGUAAGGACCGCGCGUAGCCACACUCGGUUCAACUAAAGUUGAAGAAACUGACACCCGCCAGCCACCUGUGUGCAAAGCACGUCGGUAGAACCAGUCUCGCGUAAGCGUACGCGUAAUGUCGGUCUAGGCAGCUUCAUCCAACAAUACCGCCGAACCAAAGUAUGACAUGCUGGUAAGUAGUAUGACUUAUAUCGCCCACAACUCACUUGUGUUCUACUCGUGCAUAUGACAUCUAUGCAUAAAACCAUGCUCGGAUGCCACUGUUGGGGAACGUAGUAAUUUCAAAAAUUUCCUACGCACACGCAAGAUCAUGGUGAUGCAUAGCAACGAGAGGGGAGAGUGUUGUCUACGUACCCUCGUAGACCGUAAGCGGAAGCGUUAUAUCAACGCGGUUGAUGUAGUCGUACGUCUUCACGAUCCGACCAAUCCAAGUACCGAAAGCACGGCACCUCCGAGUUCUGCACACGUUCGGCUCGGUGACGUCCUCGCCUUCUCGAUCCAGCAAGAGGGGCGAAGUAGUAGAUGAGUUCCGGCAGCACGACGGCGUGGUGACGGUGUUGGUGAAGAACAAUCUUUGCAGGGCUUUGCCUAAGCACUACGAAAACUAUGACGGAGGAUAAACUAGUGGAGACGGGGUUGCCGGCACACGGCUUGGUGUUUCUUGAUGUGUCUUGGGUGCUAGCCCUACCCCUCUAUUUAUAUGUUGAGCCUUGGGACGAAACUUGGAGUAAAAGCCUCCACAAAGUCGGUUUCACCCGAAAGGCAAGAGUCCUUCUUAGACUCCAGGGCCAGACGCCAGGGUUCCCGGCGUCUGGACCCAGGCGCCAGGGACCUUGGCGUCUGGCCCGUGCACUCAGCAAAACUUCCUUUUGCACUUUCCAAAAACCUCGUGGGCUUUCCCCUUUGGCCCAGAUAAAGUGUUCUUGUGCCCAAACAUUUCGGGAAACAUCCGGAACCCCUUCCGAUGGAUUCCGGAACCUUUCCGGAGAUCAAACACUACUAUCCACAUAUCAAUCUUUACUUCCGGACCAUUCCGGAGUUCGUCGUCAUAUCCGUGAUCUCAUCCAAAACUCCGAACAACAUUCGGUCACCAACAUACAUAACUCAUAGUACUAUAUCGUCAACGAACGUUAAGCGUGCGGACCCUACGGGUUCGAGAACUAUGUAGACAUGACCGAGACACCUCUCUGGUCAAUAACCAAUAGCGGGACCUGGAUGCCCAUAUUGGCUCCUACAUAUUCUACGAAGAUCUUUAUCGGCCAGACCGCAUAACAACAUACUUUGUUCCCUUUGUCAUCGGUAUGUUACUUGCCCAAGAUUCGAUCGUCGGUAUCUCAAUACCUAGUUCAAUCUCGUUACCGGAGAGUCUCUUUACUUGUUUUGUAAUACAUCAUCCCGCAACUAACUCAUUAGUUGCAAUGCUUGCAAGGCUUAUAGUGAUGUGCAUUACCGAGUGGGCCCAGAGAUACCUCUCCAACAAUCGGAGUGACAAAUCCUAAUCUCGAAAUACGCCAACCCAACAAGUACCUUCGGAGACACCUGUAGAGCACCUUUAUAAUCACCCAGUUACAUUGUGACGUUUGGUAGCACACAAAGUGUUCCUCAGGUAAACGGGAGUUGCAUAAUCUCAUAGUCAUAGGAACAUGUAUAAGUCAUGAAGAAAGCAAUAGCAACAUACUAAACGAUCGAGUGCUAAGCUAACGGAAUGGGUCAAGUCAAUCACAUCAUUCUCCUAAUGAUGUGAUCCCGUUAAUCAAAUGACAACUCACGUCAAUGGCUAGGAAACAUAACCAUCUUUGAUUAACGAGCUAGUCAAGUAGAGGCAUACUAGUGACACUCUGUUUGUCUAUGUAUUCACACAAGUAUUAUGUUUCCGGUUAAUACAAUUCUAGCAUGAAUAAUAAACAUUUAUCCUGAUAUAAGGAAAUAAAUAAUAACUUUAUUAUUGCCUCUAGGGCAUAUUUCCUUCAGGAGCCGCCAAAUCCUCCUCGUGCUCCACGCCUGCUGAUCCUUCUCCAUUUACAUGAAAUAACACCUCAUUUUGUGCUGGAUUUUCAAGAUUUUGAUCAUUUUGUCUUCCGUUUUCAAGAUAUGGUUCUAUCACACAUCACACUUGUUCCUCAAUAAAUGGGGAAAAACCCAUGUGCAUCACCUGUCAAUUCUAGGAAUUGAACUCGGGUCGUUAGGCUGCACAACCGCAUUGCCCAACCACUGAGCCAAGGCUCUCUUUGCACAGAAACCGAAUAUAUUUAUGAAGAAAUAUGAAAUAAAAUUUGUACAUAUUUACCUAAAUAUAAAUAGGUACUGUUAUCGUAUUGAUCACAAACCAACUACUAGCUUAGUUGAAUGUUCUCUACACUUGUCAUGGGUGUUUAGAUCGCGAGUUCGAGAAAGCGAUUCUCUCAAUAGUGGCGGUGAGUCCUACGUUUACCACUUCACCACUCCUAGACAUCUUGUUAGAAGGCCAGAUAUUAUAGUAUUUAAUAACAUAUCUUGAGCCUUUAAGAUUAAAAAGUAGCCUUGCGGUUUUAUUUGUCGGGGAGAGUAAUGGGUGGCUCUGGGCUUGUAGUGGGCCUGACUAGACGCAAUUGCACUAUGAGCCCCAUUAACGGCCCACAAAUCAAUCUACAACUCUAUGGUACAAUUAACUUUUUUUAGCAAAUUCACUAACAUACAAUUUUUUUCUCAAGUCCUAAACAUUAUUUCACAAAAAAAAUCAAUUCUUUUCCAAUAGUCCACUAAAAAGCAAUUAUUUUUCAACAUCAAGCAUUAAGAAACUGUAAUGAUACACUGCAUAAAAACAGCUGCAAAUAGUGUAUAACGACCAGAAGACGAUCGAGUGAGCUCGGGAGAAAUGUGUGUCAAUAUCUACAUUGAUCGGUCGACCAGAGGAGCCAACGAUUGGUUUUUCAAUUGAUUCUCACCGUGCCACUCACUCAUCGCUACAUACAAGGCGUAUAUAUGGCCGAAGCUUGAGCUUUGCACAACCAAACUGGAGUAAAAACGAAAACUAGGUGGGAGAAACAUUAGCAUAUGCAUGCAAGUCCUUCCAUGGUAAUGGCACGAUGAUGAUGAUGAUGACGGCGAUGAUGAUGAUCAGUAUACUUCGACGUUCCACUGCUCGGCC
rnacentral:lncRNA from 1 species